CAAACAAAGAAUGGUCGACAUGUGGUGGGCUCAGGAGGACGCAGCCCGUUGGAAACACAGGAGGCGGCGAACUCUGGAGUUCCAGGCAAGGAAACGCAGUCGACGGCCAGAGGAACCACGUCAGCUUCUGCAGCAAAGCAUCUUAAUGAUGCUGCUCACAUUCCCUUACAACAUGGCGACGCCUCUCCUCGUCUGAAGACGCCCCGCGGAGAACGCUGGCACCACAGAUCUGCUCGCCAUCUGGUAGAACCACACCCCUCGUGUUCCAAAAUCCUUUGUUAUUUUAUUGAAGUGAGCGGCGCUCCAGAGCUGAGCAGUGAUCAUAGAGCCUGUCAUGACACACGGAGGCUGACGGGAAGAACACGCUUCCCAAGGAGGUUUGAAACAUUUCUUCCUCACUCUCACAGCUGUUAUACUGAGGAGGACUGAGGUCCGAGUUGAAAAAAAUGGUAUCAUUUUCUGUUCUUUCCAAUGCCUUUCCUAUUUGAUCAUUAAGAUGAUUCAUGCAUUUCUAUACAGUUAUACUUCUUCAUAUCAUAUCCCCUUUUAUG